rnacentral:rRNA from 1 species
CUUGUAGGCGGUUUGUCGCGUCUGCUGUGAAAAUCCGAGGCUCAACCUCGGACUUGCAGUGGGUACGGGCAGACUAGAGUGUGGUAGGGGAGACUGGAAUUCCUGGUGUAGCGGUGAAAUGCGCAGAUAUCAGGAGGAACACCGAUGGCGAAGGCAGGUCUCUGGGCCACUACUGACGCUGAGAAGCGAAAGCAUGGGGAGCGAACAG